ACCUCGUUAAAAUGGUCUCUGUGAUUUCCAUCCAGACGACCGGGCCACGCAGCACCUCCCAGCCUGAUCCUGAGAUGUUUCAGAAUCAGCCAGUGGCUGGGAAGGGUGGGUUGUGACGGCCCCAGAAGCUUCUCCAGUGAAGGAUGGCUUAACCUGCCUGACGAACCCACUUUACGGCUGAUGCCACGCUUGUGAGAGAAACCAGAGCAGUUUAUUCUGUGGUGUUUAUGUUUUGCAGUCCUAAGUGUCUUUGCCCAUUGCCUGUUUUCCUGCAAAGGUUUUUACUGUUAGGCUGGGUGGUCAGUUUGUCCUGAAAGCUGGUCAGCAUCACACACAGAGUUCUAACUCCUUUACUAGCCUCCCCGACUCAAAGACAGACUCCAGCUAUGGCCUUCAUUUGUUGAAAAGAAGUUUUUCCUUCUCUAAAAUGAUAUUCCUUCUCUACUGGGGACCUAGGGGGGCAGGCGAGGAAGAGGAGCAGGCCUGGGGCCCUUGCUUCUAACCAGAGAACGAGAGCCAGAAUGGCUGGGAGGGCGCCCUGUGGGGACGGUGGCAGGAGAUGCGAUGGGAGGCUGGGUCUCAAGAUGGGGCCAGCAGAGAAGGGUGUGUGUUUUUUCUGGUUUUUAGGAGAAAGGCACCUAGGCAUUUGAUCUGAUGGUAAGUCGUGCUGUGGAAAUCUGAAAUGACCUUUGGGCGGAGGAACACGGUUUGGCUGGAGAGAAGACUCUAUUUGAAUCUGUGGAAGUGGCUUGGGCAGCCUGCACAAGGGCCGCACAAGGCCGGACAUUAAGGCGCCAGAGUCCCACCUCCGGGACCUGCCCUUUCCUGGUCACCUGCGGGCAGGCUGCUCCUCUAGCUGUGUGUUCUGGCUCUUACUCUGCCAGGAAGAACCCUCUGCUCAUGCAGCAGCUUAAACACUGGCUUCUUCAGAGGGGUCAGUGUUCUGACCACUAGGCACAUUUGCAGCUUUCUGUUAGGCUUUUUCAACCAUUUUUGGAAAUGUACGUUUUUCCUUUUGGGCAGUACUGCAGGCUUUUUGCUAAGGGACUUAAAUGACGUCUUCCUGGUUCUUCAGGAGGCUGAGCGCCGGCCGGUCUCCAUGCCCCUCGGGCUGCCAGACUAUGGCUCAUCCUCCCCAAUUCCAGUUCGCACUUUCCUCCCCUCUCUGGCUUCCUUGGCCAACAGCCCUCUCUUUCUGAGGUCGGAGCUUUCUUCGUGGUGGUGGACCCUUCGGGUUAGGACACGGGCCACUGGCUCCACCCUGCCCACGUGGCCACAGCACUCAGCUGUCAGGGCUCGAGGGAGGAACCGCCUCAGAUCAGAAUAUUCUGUCCUGGGUCUGAACUCCAAUAGCAGUUUUCUGUUGGGUCCUGGAUAUACGCGACACUCACGCUCUUCUCCUUUGAAACGUGUUGGGGGUGGGCAGGCAGUGUCAUGUGAUCGCAUGGAACGAGGCCCCGUAGCAAGGGCGGGAGAGGGGCCUGGGUGCCAUCCACCGUACAGGCUCCCCUUACACACUUCGCUUUGCCCAUCGACACACGCACACUAGCGCAUCAGCCACUGUCUCAGAGGCCGAGGGCACCACAUACGCAGAGGUGACCGAGCUGAACGGCCACGUCACCUGCCAUACCGGCGCCAGAGGAGGUCAGCGCGGUCACACUCAGGCCUGGGACCCCUCGCACACCUGACGUGUCACUUCGUGGCCCUCAGAGCAGGGGGCUGGCACCUGCACUCCUACUGUUCCUUCGCCCCCGCAGGCAGCUCCAAGACCCAGAGGAGGCCUGUGGGCAGGUGGGGACCUCUCUAGGAGAAAGACACCUCUUGGCAGAUGGAGAAUUUUCUUUCUUGACCCUCCGCUGGAACCGAAAAUAAAGCAAGAUACAGGAUCAGGAUCAUAGUUUUACUUGACUGCUUUUUCCGUCAGUCUGGCUCCCGCCUGGUCUGUUGCUGUGGACGUCUGGAGAAUGUGAAUGAGCCGGCCGUGGCCACUGCUGAGCCCUCCAUCUCCCCAGGCUGAGAGGAAGGCUUUGCACGGAGCGGGCCAGGGAUGCAGGUUUGCUCUGGGUUUCUAGGUUUCCUGGCAACAGGAAAAUCUUUAAAAAUGCUAAACCCUGAAACCCAUGGUAGUGAAAAGGCCCUGUAGACGCCUGAGUCCUGGAAAAAGUCCCAGAACUCCUCUCAUCGGGCUGAUGGUGUUAAUAAGAACCAGAGCAUCAGAGAGGUGGGCUGCAAGCCCCUCAGAGGGACCCAACUGAGCACCAGUUCCUGCCUCACUCUGGGAGUGAAAUCAGGAAGCGGCAGAGAAAGGAGAAGCCUGUUUCUUCCAGCAGGCAGCUUUCCCUCUGGACACUGGACGCUUGUGCACACAUCCCAGCUGAGCUCCACGCUCCCUAACUCCUGUGGGACCCUCGGCCUCCGCUGCAGCUUUCAGCCUGAGAGGGAGGAUGCCCCGGCCUCUGUGCAAGCACCCUGCUCUUGGACGGGCUUGCCUCCAGAGGGAGAGAACCUGGGAGAGAACCACUUUCCUCAAGUCCUAUGAGGACCCAGGAACACAGGACCCGGGGUUGGAGAGCACCGCGGAACACAAGACAAGGACCUGGCCAGAGUUACCCGUUCUCCACCGGCCUCCCGUCCCCUUUGCUGUCCUACCAGGAGGCAGGGAGGAGGGGCCCCAGCCAGAAUGCCGGCCUUCCCCAGAGGGCCCCCAGGGACAUGCUGGGAAGAAAGAACCCGAUUCACUGACCAAUACUGGUUUCAUUUCUUAAAUUAUCCAAUUCUUGGCCAUCAAAUUGUAACAUUCUAGAGAGAGCCAGGAGAGCACACUUGGCGCCAAGGGCUGUGCUGAGCCUUCUUACUCAGGGACGGCCUCAGCGCUGGGUGGCCAAGGUCCUAGGCUUGUAGACAGGGACAGCCUCGUCCCGGAGAGCCGGCCGCCCCUUGAUGAUGUCGGCCGCCUUCUCUGCGAUCAUGAUGGUGGGGGCGUUGAGGUUGCCGCUGACCACACUGGGCAUGAUGGAGGCGUCGACCACCCUGAGGUUUUCCACCCCGAGGACCCUGGUCUGCGGGUCCACCACUGCCAUGGGGUCGGAGGGCUGGCCCAUCUUGCAGGUGCACGAUGGGUGGUAGGCGCUGUCUGCCUUUGCCCGCACAAAGGCGUCUAUCUCCUCAUCCGACUGGACGUGGCUUCCUGGCUGGAGCUCCCUCCCCCGGAACGGCGCCAGAGCUUUCUGUGCAAAAAUUUCUCUGGUCAGCCUCACACACCGACGGAAGUCAUCGAUGUCAGUUUCUGUCAAGGAGAAGAAACAGGUUACAUGCCUCCUCUUACCAUGCUGGCCUCGCUGGAAGAUCCGCCGCUGGGAGAGGCUCAAGAAGCUGCCCGAGGGGACACGGUUCAGGGACACGGAGGUCCAAGCCACCGGGUUGCCUGUCACCUACCCAUCAGCAGUUACAGUGCAACCGAGCAGAGUCCCACGAAGCCCAAACAGACAGCAUCCUAGACGGACACAGCUUGCCCCGGAGGCCCUACGUUUAAAUCAAUCGGAGAUCUGAAUUUUCUUAUCUAUAAAAUAGAGAUAAGACUACACGUCCUGCCUCUGCCACAGCACACUCCGGGCAGCUGGAGAGCAGGGCACCGCCUUCUGGGCCGCCCACCCUGGAGGCCCUGCUGCAGUGGGGAGACGACCUGCUCACCUGAUGGGCCGUGGCUCCAUCCCCUGAGGAUCAGAAGACGAUGAGGCAGAGGAGCAAGUCCAGGUGUGGCAGGACCUCCUGUUGUGAGACACCUCAGGCAAGAGGCUAUCAUCGUGCCUGGCCAAGGCGAGUGGUUUUGGUUAAUGGUUCCCUAACAACUCGAGAGCCCACUCUCGGGCCCUGGAAGGGGUCUCCCUUCCUGCAACAGCUGGCGACUCUGGUGGAAUCUCUUCUUUACCACGACUGACAUCCUGACUGCUCAGGCACCAGCUCACCUACCGACGGACCAGACCCAGAGGCCACCACUGGGACCCUCUUGUCUCUGAUCUCCUCCUGACGCAGAUGACUGGCCAGAGUGCCCCGCCCAGGCAGUUAAACUGAUGCUUUGCAAAAGUGCUUCAUCUUCAAGAAGAUUCACAGAAAGGGCUUUAGACAAGUACAGGUUUCUGAUAACUUUUAAAUCAUACUACUAAACUAGGUAAGACUUUUUUUUUUGAGUAGCUAUUUUAUUUAUGUCUUGUCUGUCUUUCUUUAUUUAUUUGUUUAUUUUAUUUUAUUUUUGGCUGCACUGCGAGGCAUGUGGGAUCUUAGUUCCCCGACCAGGGAUGGAACCUUGGCGUAUGAACCACUGGACUGCAGGGGAAAUCCCAGGUCUAUCUGGAAUACGAUGACAAUAUUCCGGCUACCCAGAUGCAUACACAACAUGAAAUACUGUCUCAUCCAUAGGCUCAUUUAUUUCACUAACGGCGGUAAUAUUAAUAAUUUUCAUAAUUUGAGAGGCAUUAGCAUCAAAACGAGAAGUCUCAACAGUAAAGCUAACAUAUCUCCCAGGAGAAUUCGGGAGGGGCAAAAGAAGGAGGAGAAGACCAAUCUCCCAGAGUCCUUCUCGCUGGAAUCCAUCUUGGCUGAGAGACGCACGCACCACCAGGAAGGACCCUGAGUCAGACUAUGGGCCAAGCGAGAUGACUGGCCAGAGACAACCCAGAAACUAACCCAUUACCAUAAAACCUGAGCCUGCGAGGCACGUGGCAGAGCGGUUCUCCUGGGUUCCCCCAGGCUCUCUGCCUUGGGGUUCCUUCCCAAUAAAGUCUUUUGCUUUGUCAGUA